rnacentral:rRNA from 1 species
ACUUCUUUCUCUCUCUUUGCCCGGAAUUACUGGGCGUAAAGCGCACGUAGGCGGCUUUGUAAGUCAGAGGUGAAAGCCUGGAGCUCAACUCCAGAACUGCCUUUGAGACUGCAUCGCUUGAAUCCAGGAGAGGUGAGUGGAAUUCCGAGUGUAGAGGUGAAAGUCGUAGAUAUUCGGAAGAACACCAGUGGCGAAGGCGGCUCACUGGACUGGUAUUGACGCUGAGGUGCGAAAGCGUGGGGAGCAAACAG